UGUUGCAUUGUGGGAAUUGUAGUCCAUCUUUUUGCUCUUCCUGUGAUUGUGUGUGUGGGUGAGGCAGCGUGAGAGACGAGGCUCUGUCUUCAGGAACUUGGAUGGAACUUCUCUUCUGAUUCAGUAUGCUGCACGUUGUGUAGACUGGAAGAUGGGAUCUGUGCUGUCUGCGUGUGGUCUGACGUUCAGGAAAGACAAAGUACAAGGAGAGAGGCAUUUACGAGCCAAC